rnacentral:rRNA from 1 species
UGAGUAACCUGCCCUUAACUCUGGGAUAAGCCUGGGAAACUGGGUCUAAUACCGGAUAUGACUCCUCAUCGCAUGGGUGGGGGGUGGAAAGCUUUAUUGUGGUUUUGGAUGGACUCGCGGCCUAUCAGCUUGUUGGUGAGGUAAUGGCUCACCAAGGCGACGACGGGUAGCCGGCCUGAGAGGGUGACCGGCCACACUGGGACUGAGACACGGCCCAGACUCCGUACGGGGAGGCAG